rnacentral:piRNA from 1 species
UGCAGAGUGGCUUCCUGCCUUACUGUGAGC